GUGAGGAAUUUUGCGCAAUGGGAGCAAUCCUGACGCAGCAACGCCGCGUGGGUGAUGAAGGCCUUCGGGUCGUAAAGCUCUGUCGGGAGGAACGAAUAGCCGCUGUGAACAAUACCACAGUGGUGUGACGGUACCUCCAAAGGAAGCACCGGCUAACUCCGUGCCAGCAGCCGCGGUAAUACGGAGGGUGCGAGCGUUGUUCGGAAUUAUUGGGCGUAAAGCGCGUGUAGGCGGUCUUUUAAGUCUGAUGUGAAAGCCCCGGGCUCAACCUGGGAAGUGCAUUGGAAACUGGGAGACUUGAAUACGGGAGAGGGUAGUUGAAUUCCUAGUGUAGUAGUGAAAUCCGUAGAUAUUAGGAGGAACACCGGUGGCGAAGGCGGCUACCUGGACCGAUAUUGACGCUGAGACGCGAAAGCGUGGGGAGCAAACA
rnacentral:rRNA from 1 species